rnacentral:rRNA from 1 species
UCAGGUGACUAUAGCACUGAGGUUCCACCUCUUCCCAUUCCGAACAGAGAAGUUAAGCUCAGUCACGCCGAUGGUACUGCGUAACAGUGGGAGAGUAGGUAGUCGCCGUUUUUUU